AUGCAACAGUGUGUUUAUGCAAGUUUGACCUUCCUGUUCUUCCCUGUCUCAUUUUUGUUUGCAGGAGCACUGUGAGCUGAUAAAGUGAAACGCGUUUUUAAGGACUCUCUAUUUUGAAAAGCCUUGAAAAGAAGACAUCUCUUUCUCUGACACAAAGCUGAUAAAAAUAGACCAGACAUAUUCCUUCCCAGCGCAAUCAUAAAGCAACAUUUAAAGCCCUUUGUUUGUUAUUCACAUGGGUGAAUAGAGUCCAGUACCCUUGUGCUGUGCCCAGCAAAGCCUCGGUGAAACACAAGGACGGACAUGCUGUAUUUUCUGAAAACAUCUCACUUUGGAAGAACUUCUGUGCACUGACCUCAAAAGUAGCCACCACACCUUUAGGUCUUUUGGCCCUGGUUCCUGAUGCCCUCUGAUGCUCUGUUCUGCUUCUCCUCUGCUCUUGGUGGCUCGAUGGGAGAGCUCUUUGCUGGUCCUUUCCUCUGAGACCUGUGUGGCAGCAGCACAGACAAGCAUCACAGCCACAGAGACUUCCCACACCUUUUUUCAAGGAAGGCUGUGACAACUUUCAUGGAAGGUCUGUCUCCCUCUGCCUGCCCUGUCUGCUCUGCCUUUCCUGGACAAGCUGCAUGUGGCCUCCACAAUGUGCCCCUUGCCAUGUGUGAUGCUCAGCACAGAGCCUGAAUGUACAAACAUAACACAUGGGGGUUUUUAUACAUA